AGUGAACGCUGGCGGUAGGCCUAACACAUGCAAGUCGAACGGCAGCACAGUAAGAGCUUGCUCUUACGGGUGGCGAGUGGCGGACGGGUGAGGAAUACAUCGGAAUCUACUUUUUCGUGGGGGAUAACGUAGGGAAACUUACGCUAAUACCGCAUACGACCUACGGGUGAAGGCAGGGGAUCUUCGGACCUUGCGCGAUUGAAUGAGCCGAUGUCGGAUUAGCUAGUUGGCGGGGUAAAGGCCCACCAAGGCGACGAUCCGUAGCUGGUCUGAGAGGAUGAUCCGCCACCAUGGAAAUGGGAACACGUCCCGGACCCCACCGGAGGCAGGAGUGGGGAAAAUUGGAAAAGGGGGGCAAGGCUUAACCAGCCCAUCCGGGGUGGGGAAGAAGGCCUUCGGGUUGUAAAGCCCUUUUGUUGGGAAAGAAAAACAGGCGGUUAAUACCCCCCUGUUUUGACGGUACCCAAAGAAUAAGCACCGGCUAACUUCGG
rnacentral:rRNA from 1 species